rnacentral:rRNA from 1 species
AUUGAACGCUGGCGGCAGGCCUAACACAUGCAAGUCGAGCGGAUGAAGGGAGCUUGCUCCUGGAUUCAGCGGCGGACGGGUGAGUAAUGCCUAGGAAUCUGCCUGGUAGUGGGGGAUAACGUCCGGAAACGGGCGCUAAUACCGCAUACGUCCUGAGGGAGAAAGUGGUGGAUCUUCGGACCUCACGCUAUCAGAUGAGCCUAGGUCGUAUUAGCUAGUUGGUGGGGUAAAGGCCUACCAAGGCGACGAUCCGUAGCUGGUCUGAGAGGAUGAUCAGUCACACUGGAACUGAGACACGGUCCAGACUCCUACGGGAGGCAGCAGUGGGGAAUAUUGGACAAUGGGCGAAAGCCUGAUCCAGCCAUGCCGCGUGUGUGAAGAAGGUCUUCGGAUUGUAAAGCACUUUAAGUUGGGAGGAAGGGCAGUAAGUUAAUACCUUGCUGUUUUGACGUUACCAACAGAAUAAGCACCGGCUAACUUCGUG